UACGUAGGGUGCGAGCGUUGUCCGGAAUUAUUGGGCGUAAAGAGCUCGUAGGCGGUUUGUCACGUCUGCUGUGAAAUCCCGAGGCUCAACCUCGGGCCUGCAGUGGGUACGGGCAGACUGGAGUGCGGUAGGGGAGAAUGGAAUUCCUGGUGUAGCGGUGGAAUGCGCAGAUAUCAGGAGGAACACCGAUGGCGAAGGCAGUUCUCUGGGCCGUAACUGACGCUGAGGAGCGAAAGCGUGGGGAGCGAACAGG
rnacentral:rRNA from 2 species